rnacentral:sRNA from 1 species
CCCUAGCCCCGAUAGCAGUGAAAAUCCUUUUGUGCCGGUGUUCGGCACAAAAGAUUGGAACGGAUAGCGGGAAAAAGC